AUCUCAGUAGCACAGUGGUUACUGCACAGCCCCGGAAAGGUUGAGACACGGGUUCGAUUCCCGCCUGAGGUG
rnacentral:tRNA from 1 species